AACCAUAGAAACCUGCGGAGUACCUGCGGAAGGAUCAUUACCGAGUUUACAACUCCCAAACCCAAUGUGAACGUUACCAAACUGUUGCCUCGGCGGGAUCUCUGCCCCGGGUGCGUCGCAGCCCCGGACCAAGGCGCCCGCCGGAGGACCAACCAAAACUCUUUUGUAUACCCCCUCGCGGGUUUUUUAUAUCUGAGCCAUCUCGGCGCCUCUCGUAGGCGUUUCGAAAAUGAAUCAAAA
rnacentral:misc_RNA from 1 species